AAAGGCCCCCCUGCACUCCAAUGCGAGGCCAAAGGUCCUCACAUUUUGGCUUACAAGGGCCUUUGUCAAAUCCACCGCAUCACAGGAAGAGGCUUGUAACUGCCACCGAUCUAUCCAGAAUUUGUAGAAGCUCUCAGUAGCGCUUCGGAUCUCGGCUGGCAGAGCCUUUACCAAUGAUGGGGGCUAGGACCUCCUCUCUCCUGGUAAGGAAGUUCGGAGAUUUCCCUUGCACUCUUGUGGGCCUCUGCUUGGAAGUUUCAUCCUCUGCCUUUUCGACCGUCCUCUUCGUAACCUCUUCCUCAGCCGCAGCGCACCGCACCAUUUCAAUCUUCACCACUUUUGAGACGGCCUCCAGGAGCUUCGGCUGAGGGGCUUCUUUUCCUUCAUGGGACACAGAGGUCCCGAACUUCCCAGAUGAGCCGGUGAUGUGCACCAGCUUCUUUUUCUUCUGCUCCUUGGGGACUUCUCCUUUCCCCGAUGCUCUUUGGUCUUCUCCGACCUCUGGGGGUCCCCUUCUCAGCACCCCUGGAUCUAUUAUCUUUGGAGAGGCGCUCCACCCUCUCCUAAACCUCCUUGGCACCACUUGACCCCAGCUUCAGGGGCCUCGCCGUCACAUUGGAUAUGGCCCUAAGGAUAGAGGCCAUGUCUAGGGCUGACUACUCCCUCCUCUUGAACUUGUUUGCAAAACAUAUCAGUACAUCAGAAUCGAAACAAAAAGCAAGAAAUACACAAGUAUACAAGCCUCUUACCUUUGGAGGCCAUCAAUUUAAAGUCAAUGAAGUAGCGUCUUCGGUCGAUGAGGUGGUCAAAGUGUCGAAGUUUUUAGAGGUCACUUGUAAAUGUCCUCUAUCACUUCAAACUCCUCCUUGGUCAAUUCGACCCUCAUACUACUAUCUGCA
rnacentral:lncRNA from 1 species